AUAUUGGUCACUGAUUUGUUUUUGUUUUGUUUUUGAAUGUCAGAAAUGUAUAUUUGUGAAUGUUGAGAUGUUAUAUUGGUUUCACUGGUAAUAAUAAAUAAUUGAAAUGGGUAUAUAUUUGUUUUUUGUUAAGUUGCCUAAUAAUGAUGCACAGUAAUAGUCACCUGCACACACAGAUAUCCCCCUAACAUAGCUAUAACUAAAAACAAACUAAAAACUACUUACAAAAAUAUUCAGCUUUGAUAUUAAUGAGUUUUUUGGGUUCAUUGAGAACAUGGUUGUUGUUCAAUAAUAAAAUUAAUCCUCAAAAAUACAACUUGCCUAAUAAUUCUGCACUCCCUGUAAUUGUAACCUUGUGUAACAUGUAUACAGUGUGUGACAAGAUCUGUAACUGCGUGUAACAUUUAUACAGUGUGUGAAUAGAUAAGGCCCUGGUGAGAUAGCGCAGCUAAGCGGACAAAGGCACAUGUAUGAGUGUGGGGAUAGAUGCGUGUGAUUGGUUGGACAUGAAUGUGUGGGUGGGAUUAUGUGGUGUGUGUUCCGUAGGGGGUGGUCUUACCUGAAUGCCAAUUGGGAUUUGGGCCAGCAAACAGCUUCCUGUCCUCCUGCUCCUGUUUGUCCUCGGCCUGUAGUCAAUCUGCUUGAGAGAUGGAUGUGGAGAUUAUUCUGGCGUCCCUCAGAGCUGCUGCUGCGCCGGAUGGCUGCUGGUGUGGGACCUCCCCGCAGCCUGCCUCAUUCAGGGGCCUCCCUUGCGGCCCCUGCUCCUGGGGGCCGCACUAGCACCAGCCAGCAUUUUCGCCCACUGGUUGAAUUGUCCCCUGACACCACUCCUCGGGCCCAGUUGAGGAGUAGGAGCCCAGGCCAGAGGCACCUGGCAGGCUGAUGGUUCACAGCCGACUCCUGCUACACGGCCUGCCCCAGUCUCCGGCAAUGGACCACAGUGUGCGGCCACCCAGCUUCCAGGUCUCCCCGCGGCAGAUGGGACGGGGGGGCUGGGUCCAGGCCCCCAUGGUGAGUAGACAGUACCGCUGUUGGGGUCGGGUGGGGGGUUACUCCAGUGUGUCGGGAGCCUCCUCUGCUGGUGAAGUCUGUAUCCCCUGUCCCCCCUCCUGGUUUUUUUCCCCCUCUCUUGUCCCUGGUCUUCCCCUUUGUUGUUUUCCAGGGGACUCAGCUUGCCCCUGGUUCCCCUCCUACCUCCUCUGGUCCCUCUGCCCCCUUCUCCAUCUGAAUCCCUACUGGGUUUUCCUCCCCCCUUUCUCCUUCCUCACAUGCCCCCUCCCCUUCUCUCCCUUCUCUUUCCUGGUCCUCUCUGCUCUAUAUCCUCCCUUCUACUCUCCUUUGGCCCCCUCUCGCCCCUGCUGGUCACUCACAUUGGCCACCUACCAUGUGGGGCGUGUUCUCACCGCCUCUUCAUUGCUCUUAUCUCAGGACCCGGCUGCUGUUACUGGAACUGCCCAGCAGGUGGCGCCUGGAACACAGUGGAUGCUGGAAUUCCUGUUGAUUUGCCUCAACCUUCUGUGCUUGCUGUGCCACGAUCGGAACGCCAGGCUGCAACAGUUAAGUGUGGUGUUCCGUCCUC
rnacentral:lncRNA from 1 species